GAGUGAUGAAGGAACAACAACGUCAUGGUCGAAAACCUCCAUCGAGAAGGUGGUCAUUGCGGCGCUUCUCGACGGUCGUCGAGUUAGCAUCUGGUUUGCCGGUUCGAGAUUCGACAUUUCUGCCGACUCUCUCCAGACUACCACCUACCUCUCCCUUCAAACUCUCCCCGUUCUACCUGCACGUACACAACAACAAUGACAAUUCAAAUGCACGUUUAAUUAAUCAAAUUUUGCUUCAAUAAUGUGUAUUAAUUGAUGAUGAUGUAGCUACCUUGUGAAUAACUGAAAAUUGAAAACCAAAAAUGUGAAAGAAGAGAAGAGAUCAAAAAUGGAAUUUGGUUUCAGAAGAUGUGUGUGAGAGUGUAUCUUAGGGUGCAAGAAAAAGAGGAAAGAGAGAGAAACAAGCGGGAAUAACCGAACAUCAUGAGAGAUUGAGGAAGG
rnacentral:lncRNA from 1 species